rnacentral:rRNA from 1 species
GACGAACGCUGGCGGCGUGCUUAACACAUGCAAGUCGUACGGUAAGGCCCUUUCGGGGGUACACGAGUGGCGAACGGGUGAAUAACACGUGAGUAACCUGACCACAACUUUGGGAUAACGCUAGGAAACUGGUGAUAAUACUGGAUAUGUGCUACUGCUGCAUGGUGGGGGUUGGAAAGCUCCGGCGGUUGUGGAUGGACUCUCGGCCUAUCAGCUUGUUGGUGGGGUAGUGGCGUACCAAGGCGGCGACCGGUAGCCGGCCUGAGAGGGUGACCGGCCACAUUGGGACUGAGAUACGGCCCAGACUCCUACGGGUGGCAGCAGUGGGGAAUAUUGCACAAUGGGCGCAAGCCUGAUGCAGCAACGCCGCGUGCGGGAUUACGGCCUUUGGGUUGUAAACCGCUUUCAGCAGGGACUAUGCUUUUUUUGACGGUACCUGCAGAAGAAGCACCGGCUAACUACGUG